rnacentral:tRNA from 1 species
GGGCGUUUAGCUCAGUGGUAGAGCGCCUGCCUUACAAGCAGGUGGCCGUAGGUUCAAAUCCUACAACGCCCA